rnacentral:rRNA from 1 species
GUAGUCCACGCCGUAAACGAUGUCAACUAGCCGUUGGGAGCCUUGAGCUCUUAGUGGCGCAGCUAACGCAUUAAGUUGACCGCCUGGGGAGUACGGCCGCAAGGUUAAAACUCAAAUGAAUUGACGGGGGCCCGCACAAGCGGUGGAGCAUGUGGUUUAAUUUGAAGCAACGCGAAGAACCUUCCCAGGCCUUGACAUCCAAUGAACUUUCCAGAGAUGGAUUGGUGCCUUCGGGAACAUUGAGACAGGUGCUGCAUGGCUGUCGUCAGCUCGUGUCUUGAGAUGUUGGGUUAAGUCCCGUAACGAGCGCAACCCUUGUCCUUAGUUACCAGCACGUUAUGGUGGGCACUCUAAGGAGACUUCCGGUGACAAACCGGAGGAAGGUGGUGAUGACGUCAAGUCAUCAUGGCCCUUACGGCUUGGGCUACACACGUGCUACAAUGGUCGGUACAGAGGGUUGCCAAGCCGCGAGGUGGAGCUAAUCCCACAAAACCGAUUGUAGUCCGGAUCGCAGUCUGCAACUCGACUGCGUGAAGUCGGAAUCGCUAGUAAUCGCGAAUCAGAAUGUCGCGGUGAAUACGUUCCCGGGCCUUGUACACACCGCCCGUCACACCAUGGGAGUGGGUUGCACCAGAAGUAGCUAGUCUAAC